GCGGGAAUAACUCAGGAGUGCAACCCAUGCGAGGCUGAAGUCGUGGGUUCGAACCCAUUUCCCGCU
rnacentral:tRNA from 1 species